GCCGGGCGUGGUGGCUCACGCCUGUAAUCCCAGCACUUUGGGAGGCCAAGGCGGGUGGAUCACCUGAGGUCAGGAGUUCGAGACCAGCCUGACCAACAUGGUGAAAACCCGUCUCUA
rnacentral:SRP_RNA from 1 species